UACACUCCUGCGGGAGGCAGCAGUGGGGAAUUUUGGACAAUGGGGGCAACCCUGAUCCAGCAAUGCCGCGUGAGUGAAGAAGGCCUUCGGGUUGUAAAGCUCUUUUGUCAGGGAAGAAACGGUAGUAGCGAAUAACUAUUACUAAUGACGGUACCUGAAGAAUAAGCACCGGCUAACUACGUGCCAGCAGCCGCGGUAAUACGUAGGGUGCAAGCGUUAAUCGGAAUUACUGGGCGUAAAGCGUGCGCAGGCGGUUGUGUAAGUCAGAUGUGAAAUCCCCGGGCUCAACCUGGGAAUUGCAUUUGAGACUGCACGGCUAGAGUGUGUCAGAGGGGGGUAGAAUUCCACGUGUAGCAGUGAAAUGCGUAGAUAUGUGGAGGAAUACCGAUGGCGAAGGCAGCCCCCUGGGAUAACACUGACGCUCAUGCACGAAAGCGUGGGGAGCAAACAGGAUUAGAAACCCUGGUAGUCCCAUGA
rnacentral:rRNA from 1 species